rfam:Hordeum vulgare subsp. vulgare, WGS project CAJW01000000 data, contig: morex_contig_2552407
CAAGUACUCCCUCCGUCCAAAAUUACUUGUCCUAAAAAUGAAUAAAAUGGAUGUAUCUAUAACUAAAAUAAGUCUAGAUACAUUCAUCUGUAGGACAAGUAUUUCAUCUGUAGGACAAGUAUUUCCGGACGGAUGGAGUAUAUA